UUUAGAUUUGUUUGUUGGCGUGUUCUUGUGCAAGUGUUUGUUAUAAUUGUUAUUUUUGUUUUGUGUUGACAUAACCACUUCACUAAAUGAUUGAUAACGUCCUUCUGUAGCUGAUGGAUCUGGGCGUUUUUCAGCACAAGUGCACUUAACACAGCUCUCGAGGAGAUCAGAAUUAAAAUAGGUUCCAGCGAACAGACGCAUCGCAGAGACGAUACGCUUUAUAAUGGUGGAUACAAGGGGCCUGGCUCUGGUGGUUCUGCUCGUAUCAAGAUGCGUUGUCCAUGCGAUUCCUAUUCCAACGGAUGAGGCGGAAUACGUGACAAACGCGCCUAUCGGAAACGGUCUGACGAUAGCAACAGGCGACGCGUUUACAAACUGGCUGAAUACCGACGACGGCGUUGAAAUUGGUAUUCCAAAUUUCGUUCGUUUGGCCCCCGACAUCAGAGGCAUUCCGAAUGAAUUUGAAUAUGGCGACGAUCGUGGAUCCGCUGCUGCAUACAGCAAUCCGUCAAAGCGAGAAGCACCUAGCGCGGGCGCUAGGAGAUUCCUUACCGGAAGUGGCCCGAAAGAGGUUGAUAUCGUGGCACUGGGGAAACGGAUUUCCCACAACUGCGAAUUGGCGAACAUGACCGUAAGAAUGUUGAUGAAAUAUUUUAGUAUAGGCUUAGUCUGCGGCGUGAGGGUCAGAGUUGUUCGACACGGUCAUGGGAAAACGGGCGGGUAGUGAGGAGUCUGAAAAUGUGGAGCACUGUGAUGAAACGGUAAAAAAAGGACACACGAAUUUUUAUUGGACGCGUUGGAUCUUGAUCAAGACAAUAUAAUUCGUCACAAAUUACAAAAAUGUAUAGU